AUAAUGUGUGUUGUCUUUCCCUUCACCAAAGUUAACGCGUCUACUAUCUAGUUUUUAUUGUGGUUCUUUGAUAUUGACUUCCAGGUCAUUGUAUUUGCUGAAUCCUGUAUGAUGGCCAUUAGGAUUAUCUACUUUUAGCAGGGAGUGAGUACAUAAAUUAUGAGUUCUUUAUUUAACCAUUGUUUAAGGUGAUUUUGACCUGUGGCUUAUCCUUCUGCUAGUGUGGUGUUAUAAAAAAGUUUACAAAGAGAAUAAUAAUUAUAAGAUUAGCUAACAAUUAUUAAAUAUUUACUAUUUGCUAAUCGAUGUGCUAAGUGCUUUGUAUCUGUUAUAUCCAAUUUAAUCUUCACUGCAAUCCUGUUAAGGGGUAUUAUUAUACCAAUUUUACAGAUACAGAAAAUGAGGUAUAUGGGGGCUAAAUAGCUUGUCUAAAUUACGCUGUAAGUAUUAGAAAUAGGAUUUGAAUGUGGCAACCUGACCUCAGAGUCUUGGCGCUUACUACUCUGCUAUAUAGAUCAAACUGAUGGCCUUCUGUUUUAUACGUAAUAGAGCUCUAUUUAAGAUUUCCACUCAUAAAAUCCCUUCUGUCGUUUUCUUUUAGAGUCUGUGUAUACAUGCGGAUUUUCCAUUUCAAUUCUAAUAAAACUUCCAUCUUUAGUUUCCGUGGUUGCUGGUUGGUUUCUUGCAAAGUAUUUUCAGCGUUUAGCAUUUUUAUUUCAGUCAACCUUUGUUAUGCCGUUACUGUGAGAUACUUGACUUACCAGGCUUUUUCUGAACACUUUAAAUUUUGGAGCACAGUUUCUAAAUCCAUGAAGUAAUCUUGAUACAAUAGGAUGUUAUUGUAUUUUUGGAUUACUUGUGCAUUCGGAAUUUUAACAAAUCUUAACUGAGAUUUCUGAGAGAGCAGACACCAUCUUAUUUCUGUUGGAUUACAUGCAGUAACUCAGAAGGCAUAAAUUAGCUGUCAGAAGUAGCAUCAUUGAAAGAAAGGUAAUUUCAAAAUUUGAAAGGGUCACUCAGACUUAAAUUUUACCUAGGUUAUGUUUAUAUCUUUGACAUAGAUAAUUAAUAAUCCUCUCAGACUAAAUUGGAUUCAUCCAGACUGUAAGACAUUUCAAUUAUGUCUAAUUCACUCUGUGCUGGAGAGUGUUUUCCUCUCUUCAUCUUUCCAAAAAAUCUUUGGUAGUCCAGCUGAUUUUCCAUCCCUGUUGCUGGUGAUCU